GAUGAACGCUGGCGGCGUGCCUAAUACAUGCAAGUCGAGCGAACGGACGAGAAGCUUGCUUCUCUGAUGUUAGCGGCGGACGGGUGAGUAACACGUGGAUAACCUACCUAUAAGACUGGGAUAACUUCGGGAAACCGGAGCUAAUACCGGAUAAUAUUUUGAACCGCAUGGUUCAAAAGUGAAAGACGGUCUUGCUGUCACGUAUAGAUGGAUCCGCGCUGCAUUAGCUAGUUGGUAAGGUAACGGCUUACCAAGGCAACGAUGCAUAGCCGACCUGAGAGGGGGAUCGGCCACACUGGAACUGAGACACGGUCCAGACUCCUACGGGAGGCAGCAGUAGGGAAUCUUCCGCAAAGGGCGGAAGCCUGACGGAGCAACGCCGCGUGAGUGAUGAAGGUCUUCGGAUCGUAAAACUCUGUUAUUAGGGAAGAACGUAUGUGUAAGUAACUGUGCACAUCUUGACGGUACCUAAUCAGAAAGCCACGGCUAACUACGUG
rnacentral:rRNA from 1 species